CACUCUUAUACCAGCUCUAAUCACUUUGAAGCUGCCAGAAAGACUGAGGUGUUAAGAAUGACCUAUGCACUGGAAGUGGCAGAACAAAAAUGGAUGACAGGGAGUUGAUAGCCAAGGUAAAUGAGGACCUAGUGGGAGAGCACCUAGUUGCCCUUGAUGAAUUCAAAUGGAUGCCCAGAUGAAGUACAUCCUCAGCUAUACCUUACAGCUUUGCAUCAUUGGGACAUUUGGUAAGCAAGCCUUGAGUACCUUCAUCUAAAAGCACUAGAGCAAGGCAAAGCCAAGGACAGAGUCUUGUGGCAUGCUUCUAGAGAUCUCCCUCCUGGAUGACAUCUACCCCAUAAUGAACAACACUCUUGGUACGUGUGAUCUGAUUCCCUGAAGCCUAUUUUACUGGCACCUGUUUAUCCAGGUCCCCCUGGCAUAUAAAGGAAUCGUGGAUAAUUGAGUGGACUAAAUGUUGUAGUUGCAUCUUGUCUAAUUACAGUAAUGUUGGUGCUGCUAAGCAAAUAAGGAAUGUUUAAAAUCCUUGUCCUGCUUUAUAGUCCUAUAUUCAAGUGCCAAACUUAAGUUUUGGGAUGGUGUGGAAAGGGUUGAAAAUACAAGAAACUCAGGAGGAGAGACUUGAUAUUUUAUAGUACUACAGGGAGGAGAAUGUGAGGAAAAACAAGCUUUUAGGAUUCCUUUAAAAUACAGAGAAAAAGAUUAAAAGUGAAAUUAUUACCCAAGUCAAUAAAAUAUUUUAAAAUACAAAUUUUUCAUUUCAUUUUAUUCUUAAAGCCUAUUUUUUUUUUUUUAAAUUAAAGGAACUGUCAGGGACAGAAGGGGUAAAAUGUUAAGUAUUUUAUGCUCUACUUAAAGGUAUUCCAAUUAUUUUAAAAGAAAAUAAUUUUUGCACCCCAUGGAGAAUUAGUUUUGCAAUGUCAGACUUAAAAAUAGUGUGAUGAAUGCAAUAAAACAAAGGCUUUUUUUUUUUUUUGCAUGGCACUAAUUUUAGGUUCAAAGAAGUUACUUUUGCAGUUAUAUUUUUUUAAGAAAAAAAUUUAGAUUUAAAAUUGUUUUCAAUAGUCA
rnacentral:lncRNA from 1 species